rnacentral:rRNA from 1 species
AAUGGAAAAUACUCGGAGAUAACUAUGAAAACACCUCUCUAGAUCCUCGAAUUGAAAGAGAGAUCGAGAGGGAUCAACAAUCCUAAUUCUCGCUAUUUGGAAUGGGUCCAAUUCUAG